rnacentral:lncRNA from 1 species
GGCAAGGGGCGACCCCCAUUGUUCCAAAACCCUAAAGUCACAAUUUCUUGCAAUUGGAGGCUCAAAUCAUAACCAAAACGAAAUCCAAGCUUAGAAUUGUGUCCCUCAUCGCAAGAGGAUUAAGAGGCAAAGAGUCCGGUUCAUCUAGCGGACAAGCCGAGGGGAAUUCACGAGGAAAAGGCGCGCUUUAAAGUUGUGUAGAUGUUUUUCAGGUACUCAAGUGAAGGAUGAUGAUCAAGCAGUUGAUUUGGACCGAACACCUAACUUUACGCUUCCGCACUUGAACCUCGUUUUGUUAUUUUGUAAACUCUAGUAGUUUAUCUUGGAACAUUGUUGUAGUUUAAACAUGUAAAUGUUUUAUCAAAUGG